rnacentral:piRNA from 1 species
UUGAGUAUUUCUCUCUGCUUGUUCUUAAUC